UUAUCUCAUUCAAAAUUCAAAUUCAUUAUUUCCCCAAACCAGAUCUGCAAAACAAAUUCCAAAAUCCAAUGAACUUUUAUUUGAUACAACCGCUUUCAAAUCGACAAAGAGAAGAACUCUAAUUGGUGAUUCGUUGCAGUUAAGAGAAGAUUGUCGACAUAUUUGUCCUCUAAAGCUUUGAUUGGUGAUUUUUCGCAAAUGAAGAUUAUGAUCAGUGCACUUUAAUUUCAUUAUCUGGCCUACAAUUGCCUCUUCAAUCACAUUCUUCUUACCCUAAUUUGUCUUCAUCUUUCUUCAUAGUUCAUUAAUUCUUGUUUAUUGGUUAUAAUUUGUUCUUUAAUUUGGUAAAUUUUUAGUGUUACUUUUUAACACUUCAAGAGACAAUUCAAUGAUAUGCCCUAUUUUUUCACUCAAUUACUCGAGCAUUGGUAAGUUAUUUCCUUUUUUCAUUUGUUUUUGACUUCCCCUUUAAUACUUUUUGUUUUUUAUUUGAACUAUUAACGUGUUUUAAAUUUAGCAAUUAAGAAGAGAAAAAGUGAUGCUUCUAUGCAAAAGAGAUGGACUGGACUGGACUGAUGAGCGGCUAAGCCUUUGCAAAUGUGGUUAUGAGACUGCACCCAACCCAUAUGGGCGAACUAAGGUUAUAGUUUGCUAGCCAAAAGGAUCUUAUGGCUCUAGGAGGAUCGAUUUAUCUCAACUUUUACAAGUAAGUAAGUUAUCUUUUUGUGGUGUAAUUUGUUAGUUUGUGCACCGCCACACUUGAUUAUUUUACAUUCUAUUGUCAUCUGUUUUAUUACUUCGGAGUUUGUUUAGAAAGAAUCAUUCUUUUUGGGGGCUCAAUUUUUUUAACCACAGUUACAAACUAUCAGAUGCAGUCUGAUAGUGAGGCUCAUUUGAUAUGCAAAUUAUCCUUAAUAUGAACUUGAACCCUGAUCAUGAGGCUCAUUUGAUAUGCAAUGGACUUAAGGACAGAGAUCUAACUCUCGCAUGCUAAGUUGUGGUCGCUUACUAAAUUGAAGUUAAGGUUUGUUUGAAUUUUAAUCUCACAAAAGACAUUUAUUAGUAAUAUUUAAUGUAAUAUUUUCUUUCAUUUACA